UGAAAAUUCACAAGGUGCUAAUUUUUUCAAAGAAAUGGAUGGCAACCACUCUGGUAAAUUGGUUCAUGAGUAUAUUGACAAACCAAAAGCUUCAGCCAGUUUCUUAUGAAUCACAGGUUCUAAGGCUGGGAGAGACCUUAAGAAAUGAUCUGACUUCUUCUUUUUCAGGGAAAAGGGUCCCCACCACCCAAGCACUGUGAUUUCGGCUUUGUGUGCAGGCAGAUGCAGAGCUUGUUGUGGUCCUGCCUUGAAAAAUUGAAAUGAGCCUCAGGUUCACAGAAAGACGAGAUCUGAAUGGAGGCAAAAGCAUCAGGCGUCAAUAUGGGCCUGGCGUGCAGGAUGCGCGGGUGGUCCUCCCUCCCUCACGGAGACAGGAGGGCAUGGGAAGGGCUGCAGAGGGAGGGGGAAAUCAAAAGCAUAAACCUGGGCAGAUCCUCCCUGGACACCCAUCUCACUUGUAGGAGAUAAGAUUGGUGGGAAAGAUGAACACCCAAGACCCUCCCUGCUCCAGUUCUGUGGAGGUGACCAUAUCAUUUAGGGUUCAAACUGGAACACUUUUGAGAGUGGAAGAUAAUGCUAGUAACACUGAUGCUGGGACAACUGGCAUAGGCUGGGAUACAUGACCAUCCCGGUUCUGCGGGCCUCCGACUGUAUGUGCUAGAUUCACGUGUCCAUUCAGUCGUGGUGUGAGCAGAGAUGCUACCUGUGGACUGCAAUGGCCAAAAGUGUCCAGUCG
rnacentral:lncRNA from 10 species